AGGAUGAACGCUGGCGGCGUGCCUAACACAUGCAAGUCGAACGUCCUGUCUCGCAAGAGGCAGGGAGUGGCGGACGGGUGAGUACCACGUGGGUCAUCUACCGUGAGGUGAGGAAUACCGGCGAGAAAUCGCCGACAAGACCGCAUAGGCUCGAUGCAAGUCGAGCAAAGCUCUUUCGAGAGAGGGAGCGCCACACGAGGAGCCUGCGCCCGAUUAGCUAGCUGGUGGAGUAAUGGUUCACCAGGGCGACGAUCGGUAGCUGGUCUGAGAGGACGAUCAGCCACACUGGGAUUGAGAACGGCCCAGACUCCUACGGGGGGCAGCAGUGAGGAAUUUUCGUCAAUGGGGGCAACCCUGAACGAGCAACGCCGCGUGCAGGAAGAAGGUUUUCGGAUCGUAAACUGCUUUUCUCGGGAAGAGAACGGACGGUACCCGAGGAAUCAGCCCGGCUAACUACGUGCCAGCAGCCGCGGU
rnacentral:rRNA from 1 species